rnacentral:lncRNA from 1 species
AAAAAUCACAUUUUCCCUUUCACAUCUCACUGGACCUUUACAUGACAACCUUGUGACAGUUACAUUAGAAUUAAUCUUCGCCCAUAAUUCAAGGACCAGUAGCAACCCAGAAGGAGAACAUUCACAUUUGCCCUCUCAUAUCUCACUUGCUCUUUACAUGACUACCUUCCAACCAGGGACGGAUGUUCAAUUUUAAAUUUGGGGAGGCGAAUGUUCGUACAAAGCACAAAAAUUAGGCAUGAAAUACAAUACUAAUUAGAAACUUGGGUAUCGAACUUAUAUAAUUUGAAAAUAUUAGUAGUUUGUACUACUAUAAAACUGCAGUUUUUUUGGAGUUUUGGGGCACCUUGGGCCAUCCCUGCUUCUAACGAAAUCUGACUAUGACAUAGUCAGGUAGAAAUAUCUGCACUUAUGCUUACCAGAGUGACUGAUCUUAGGGCAUCUCGGACAUGACAUACCAACUCUGAAUCAGUUCAAUUAACAUCCUCCAUUUCAUAAAAUCCUGGCCUCUCAUAUGCUAAUUCGACCCCUAUGAUCUCUGUACCAGGUAGCUGUUCCACUGGGUCCGACAAAGUAGAUUUUGUAAACUAAGCCUGCACAGCGGGAAAAUCAUAUCGCACAACGAUAAAUUGCAAAUUAUAGCAUCAAUACGAGCUCAGUUUCAACCGUUACGUCCCCAAUUUCAGACACUAGUUCAGUUGUCUAUAAAUAUAUUUUCAUAUAUCACUCUAUUGUAAUCGUGUUCUAUGUUCAAUAGAAUCCCUCCGUGUGUUCCGGAACCCUACCUACAAACAUCAAAUAUACAUAUAUAAGUAUAGCUAUACAUAUAUAUAAAUAUAUAUAUAUAUAUAUGUAUAUUAGAGAGAGAGAGAGAGAGAGAGAGAGAGAGAGACUAGAGAGGACCUGAACAGGAAAAGAGAGAGAGGGGAAGGCCGAGUUGGAUCUGUCAGACGAUUGAAUAGUCUGGUCGGCGCAAACCCCAACACUCAAUCCCUGUUUGUCGCUCUGUCUCCUGUUGCCGCCAGACCGAUGGAACGAGAACGUCGCAAGGCUUUUCAAACUUCCAACACAAACCCUAACCCCACCGAACUACUUCUAGUCAACCCUGGUAGUUUAAUCCCCAAAAGUUCGU